rnacentral:rRNA from 1 species
UACGUAGGGGGCAAGCGUUGUCCGGAAUCAUUGGGCGUAAAGAGCGUGUAGGCGGCCAGAUAAGUCCGCUGUGAAAUCCCUCGGCUUAACCGGGGAACUGCAUCUGAUACUGGAUGGCUUGAGUUCGGGAGAGGGAUGCGGAAUUCCAGGUGUAGCGGUGAAAUGCGUAGAUAUCUGGAGGAACACCGGUGGCGAAGGCGGCAUCCUGGACCGACACUGACGCUGAGGAGCGAAAGCCAGGGGAGCAAACGGG